UUUAAUUAUAAAAAUCUUGUAUUUUAAAUAAAUAAAUAAUAUUUAUUCAAUAAUAUGAAAUAUUAUUUUCGAACUGAAAAGGAAUUUUUAAAUUAUUAAAAAGUAAAAAAAAUUUACCUUUAGCAUAAGGGAUUAUUAAAAUAAAAUAAAUUUUUAUUUUUCUCGAAAUAAAUUGAUCUAAUUAAAUUAAAAUUAAAUUUGUUUUAAAAAAUUUAAUUAAAUUUAGUUAGUAGUGAAAUUCUUUUCAAAAUUUAAAAUAUCUAGUUUUUUAAACAAAUUUAAAAUUUAUCUAUUAAAAACUUUUUUUUAAUAAAAUUAAUAGAUCAAUUUUAUUGGGAUAAGCUAAUAAAAUUAAGUAUAAUAAUUUCAUAUUUUUUAAAAAAAGAAUAAAAUUUUCUUUUAAAUUUUUAAAGGUAAUUUCAUUAAAUAAAAAUAAUUAUUUUGGUUUUUAAAAAAAAAUAAAACUUAUUAUUUUUUUAAAAAUGAUGAUAUUAGUAAAAUAAUAAAUAUUUAAUUAAUUUAAAAAUUAAUUUUGUUUAUUAAAUAAAAUUAAGGAAUUAAGCAAAUAAAUUUUUUUAACUGUUUAAUAAAAACAUUUUAUUUAGAAAUAAAUAAAUAUAAAUUCUGCUCAAUGAAUAAUUAAAUUGCUGUAGUAUUUUGACUAUACAAAGGUAUUGAAAUAAGAUUUUAAUUGAAUGCUAAGAGAAUGGAUUAAUAAAAAAAAUCUUUCUUAAUUUUAAAAAUUAAAGUUAUUUUUUUUGUGCAGAAACAAAAAUAAAAAUUAGUGACAAGAAGACCCUAAGAAUUUUUAAUAAUUGAAUUUUAAAAAAUAAUUUAAUUAUUUUAAUUGGGGCGAUUAAUAAAAAUUUAAAACUUUAUUUAAAAAAAAAUGAACCAAUACUAUUGGAUAUAUGGUAAAAAUACUCUAGGGAUAACAGCGUAAUAAUUUUUGAUAGUUCCUAUAGACAAAAUAGUUUGCGACCUCGAUGUUGGAUUAGGAUACUUUUUUAAUGAAGAAGUUUUAAAAAGAAGUUUGUUCAACUUUUAAUUUCCUACAUGAUCUGAGUUUAGACCGAUGUAAAUCAGGUUAGUUUCUAUCUUAAUUAUAAAUUAAUUUUAAAUUAGUACGAAAGGAAUAUUUAAAAGAAAAUAUUUUUAAGAUUUAACAGUUUUUGCAUCAAUUUUUGGAAUUA
rnacentral:rRNA from 1 species